GAUGUUCCAAAAUUUAGUGAUUACCUGAUGUUUCAGAUGAUGAUCAGGAUGAUUGACAAGGAAGAAAUGUUCCACAGGCUUGCUAUCUGAUUCAUCGGGUCUGGUGAUUGCUCCACCCCAACACAUAGUUGAAAUAAAUGUCAAUGUUGCUCUACUGCAGUAUGCAUCAUUACCAGUUGUGGCCGCGGUGUGCAGAGACCGAUCGGGUAUUUAUAUUAGAUCUUGAGCUAUUUCUCUUGUGGGAAAUUUAGAUCCCACAACACUUGAAGCCUUUGCAUUCCGAGAAGCGCUGGCCCUUGCAGAUGACUUCUAGGAGCGAAGAAUUUUUGUUGCUUCAGAUUGCAAGAUUGUCAUUUGAUAAUAUCAAGCAGAAGAGUGCGGUUGUAUAUGGCGCAAUUAUCUGAGAAAUGUUAGAUCAUUCUAGAUUUUUUAUUAGUUGCCCUUCUAGUCAUGAAUUAGGAGGCUGGAUACCAAGACUCACAAUUUAGUGAAGCAUGCUCUCUCACUGGGGUUGGCCCUCAUGUUUGGUUAGGUAUCCCCGGUGAUCUUACUUUCGCCUUUGUAAAUAUUGUGACGAGUUACAUAAGCUUCAUGAGAUUGUCUACAAAAAUAUAUUUUAGAUUAUUGAAAA